rnacentral:rRNA from 1 species
GACGAACGCUGGCGGCGUGCCUAAUACAUGCAAGUUGAACGCUAAAACUUUAACUGGUGCUUGCACCGACUUAAGUUUUUAGAGUAGCGGACGGGUGAGUAACACGUGGGUAACCUGCCCAUCAGAGGGGGAUAACACUUGGAAACAGGUGCUAAUACCGCAUAAUUCCUUUUACCGCAUGGUAAAAGGCUGAAAGGCGCUUCUGGUGUCACUGAUGGAUGGACCCGCGGUGCAUUAGCUAGUCGGUGGGGUAACGGCCUACCGAGGCGAUGAUGCAUAGCCGACCUGAGAGGGUGAUCGGCCACAUUGGGACUUAGACACGUCCCAAACUCCUACGGGAGGCAGCAGUAGGGAAUCUUCGGCAAUGGGCGAAAGCCUGACGGAGCAAUGCCGCGUGGAGGUAGAAGGCCUACGGGUCGUGAACUUCUUUUCCCGGAGAAGAAGCAAUGACGGUAUCUGGGGAAUAAGCAUCGGCUUCUUUUUGACGGUAUCUAACCAGAAAGCCACGGCUAACUACGUGCCAGCCGCCGCUGUAACAC